GCCCUGGUAGUAUAGUCCGGUCUAGUAUAAGCGGCUGUCGCCCGCUGGACAUUACAGAGAAAAAUGCUCUGAAAACCUGAACCGGGUUCGAAUCCCGGCCAGGGCG
rnacentral:tRNA from 1 species